UACGGAGGGGGCUAGCGUUGUUCGGAAUUACUGGGCGUAAAGCGCGCGUAGGCGGACCUGCAAGUCGGGGGUGAAAGCCCGAGGCUCAACCUCGGAACUGCCUUCGAUACUGCGGGUCUCGAGUCCGGGAGAGGUGAGUGGAAUUCCUAGUGUAGAGGUGAAAUUCGUAGAUAUUAGGAAGAACACCGGUGGCGAAGGCGGCGCUCUGGACCGAGACUGACGCUGAGGCGCGAAAGCGUGGGGAGCAAACAGG
rnacentral:rRNA from 1 species